rnacentral:rRNA from 1 species
GACGAACGCUGGCGGCGUGCUUAACACAUGCAAGUCGAACGAUGAAGAAAAGAAUCGAAGCUUCGGCAGAAAUUCAUUUCGGAUUAGUGGCAGACGGGUGAGUAACUCGUGGGCAACCUACCUCUUACAAAGGGAUAGCCUCGGGAAACCGGGAUUAAUACCAUAUAACAUUGCGACGAAGCAUUUCGAUGCAAUCAAAGCUACGGCGGUAAGAGAUGGGCUCGCGUCCCAUUAACCGGAUGGUGAGGUAACGGCUCACCAUAGUGACGAUGGGUAACCGGCCUGAGAGGGUGAACGGUCACACUGGAACUGAGACACGGUCCAGACUCCUACGGGAGGCAGCAGUGGGGAAUAUUGCACAAUGGAGGGAACUCUGAUGCAGCGACGCCGCGUGAGUGAUGAAGGAAUUCGUUUCGUAAAACUCUGUUCUAUGGGAAGAAAAGGACUGUACCAUAGGAGAAAGCUCCGGCUAAAUACGUG